GGGGUCUUCGAGUGAGGCUCUGGGUCACCUCCCACCCGUGUUUAUUUUACCUUGUUGCUUCGGCGAGCCUGCCUUUUGGCUGCCGGGGGACGUCUGUCCCCGGGUCCGCGCUCGCCGAAGACACCUUAGAACUCUGUCUGAAGAUUGUAGUCUGAGAUUAAAUAUAAAUUAUUUAAAACUUUCAACAACGGAUCUCUUGGUUCCGGCAUCGAUGAAGAACGCAGCGAAAUGCGAUACGUAAUGUGAAUUGCAGAAUUCAGUGAAUCAUCGAGUCUUUGAACGCACAUUGCGCCCUCUGGUAUUCCGGAGGGCAUGCCUGUCCGAGCGUCAUUGCUGCCCUCAAGCACGGCUUGUGUGUUGGGCUCCGUCCUCCUUCCGGGGGACGGGCCCGAAAGGCAGCGGCGGCACCGCGUCCGGUCCUCAAGCGUAUGGGGCUUUGUCACCCGCUUUGUAGGACUGGCCGGCGCCUGCCGAUCAACCAAACUUUUUUCCAGGUUGACCUCGGAUCAGGUAGGGAUACCCGCUGAACUUAAGCAUAUCAAUAAGCGGAGGA
rnacentral:sRNA from 1 species